rnacentral:rRNA from 1 species
GAUGGCCAGGCUGUCUCCACCCGAGACUCAGUGAAAUUGAACUCGCUGUGAAGAUGCAGUGUACCCGCGGCAAGACGGAAAGACCCCGUGAACCUUUACUAUAGCUUGACACUGAACAUUGAGCCUUGAUGUGUAGGAUAGGUGGGAGGCUUUGAAGUGUGGACGCCAGUCUGCAUGGAGCCGACCUUGAAAUACCACCCUUUAAUGUUUGAUGUUCUAACGUAGGCCCCUUAUCGGGGUUGCGGACAGUGUCUGGUGGGUAGUUUGACUGGGGCGGUCUCCUCCUAAAGAGUAACGGAGGAGCACGAAGGUUGGCUAAUCCUGGUCGGACAUCAGGAGGUUAGUGCAAUGGCAUAAGCCAGCUUGACUGCGAGCGUGACGGCGCGAGCAGGUGCGAAAGCAGGUCAUAGUGAUCCGGUGGUUCUGAAUGGAAGGGCCAUCGCUCAACGGAUAAAAGGUACUCCGGGGAUAACAGGCUGAUACCGCCCAAGAGUUCAUAUCGACGGCGGUGUUUGGCACCUCGAUGUCGGCUCAUCACAUCCUGGGGCUGAAGUAGGUCCCAAGGGUAUGGCUGUUCGCCAUUUAAAGUGGUACGCGAGCUGGGUUUAGAACGUCGUGAGACAGUUCGGUCCCUAUCUGCCGUGGGCGCUGGAGAACUGAGGGGGGCUGCUCCUAGUACGAGAGGACCGGAGUGGACGCAUCACUGGUGUUCGGGUUGUCAUGCCAAUGGCACUGCCCGGUAGCUAAAUGCGGAAGAGAUAAGUGCUGAAAGCAUCUAAGCACGAAACUUGCCCCGAGAUGAGUUCUCCCUGACCCUUUAAGGGUCCUGAAGGAACGUUGAAGACGACGACGUUGAUAGGCCGGGUGUGUAAGCGCAGCGAUGCGUUGAGCUAACCGGUACUAAUGAACCGUGAGGCUUAACCUUACAACGCCGAAGGUGUUU